GUGCCUACUUCAGCAGCACAUAUACUAAAAUUGGAAUGACACAGAGAUUAGCAUGACCCCUGCGCAAGGAUGACAUGCAAAUUCAUGAAGCGUUCCAUAAAAAA
ensembl:snRNA U6 U6 spliceosomal RNA